rnacentral:rRNA from 1 species
GAUGAACGCUGGCGGCGUGCCUAAUACAUGCAAGUCGAGCGAACGGACGAGAAGCUUGCUUCUCUGAUGUUAGCGGCGGACGGGUGAGUAACACGUGGAUAACCUACCUAUAAGACUGGGAUAACUUCGGGAAACCGGAGCUAAUACCGGAUAAUAUUUUGAACCGCAUGGUUCAAAAGUGAAAGACGGUCUUGCUGUCACUUAUAGAUGGAUCCGCGCUGCAUUAGCUAGUUGGUAAGGUAACGGCUUACCAAGGCAACGAUGCAUAGCCGACCUGAGAGGGUGAUCGGCCACACUGGAACUGAGACACGGUCCAGACUCCUACGGGAGGCAGCAGUAGGGAAUCUUCCGCAAUGGGCGAAAGCCUGACGGAGCAACGCCGCGUGAGUGAUGAAGGUCUUCGGAUCGUAAAACUCUGUUAUUAGGGAAGAACAUAUGUGUAAGUAACUGUGCACAUCUUGACGGUACCUAAUCAGAAAGCCACGGCUAACUACGUGCCAGCAGCCGCGGUAAUACGUAGGUGGCAAGCGUUAUCCGGAAUUAUUGGGCGUAAAGCGCGCGUAGGCGGUUUUUUAGUCUGAUGUGAAAGCCCACGGCUCAACCGUGGAGGGUCAUUGGAAACUGGAAAACUUGAGUGCAGAAGAGGAAAGUGGAAUUCCAUGUGUAGCGGUGAAAUGCGCAGAGAUAUGGAGGAACACCAGUGGCGAAGGCGACUUUCUGGUCUGUAACUGACGCUGAUGUGCGAAAGCGUGGGGAUCAAACAGGAUUAGAUACCCUGGUAGUCCACGCCGUAAACGAUGAGUGCUAAGUGUUAGGGGGUUUCCGCCCCUUAGUGCUGCAGCUAACGCAUUAAGCACUCCGCCUGGGGAGUACGACCGCAAGGUUGAAACUCAAAGGAAUUGACGGGGACCCGCACAAGCGGUGGAGCAUGUGGUUUAAUUCGAAGCAACGCGAAGAACCUUACCAAAUCUUGACAUCCUUUGACAACUCUAGAGAUAGAGCCUUCCCCUUCGGGGGACAAAGUGACAGGUGGUGCAUGGUUGUCGUCAGCUCGUGUCGUGAGAUGUUGGGUUAAGUCCCGCAACGAGCGCAACCCUUAAGCUUAGUUGCCAUCAUUAAGUUGGGCACUCUAAGUUGACUGCCGGUGACAAACCGGAGGAAGGUGGGGAUGACGUCAAAUCAUCAUGCCCCUUAUGAUUUGGGCUACACACGUGCUACAAUGGACAAUACAAAGGGCAGCGAAACCGCGAGGUCAAGCAAAUCCCAUAAAGUUGUUCUCAGUUCGGAUUGUAGUCUGCAACUCGACUACAUGAAGCUGGAAUCGCUAGUAAUCAUAGAUCAGCAUGCUACGGUGAAUACGUUCCCGGGUCU